UGACAGUGGGGUUGUCUGCCCCAUUAGUGUUUGGCUGACCUGGGAACUAUCUCUCCCACACUGGCAUUUUGUUGACCCCGGGGAGGGGUGACUGCCACACUGGCCUCUCGCUGAUGGUGGAGCUGUCUCCUACACUGCUGUUUUGCUGACCCAACAGGGGAGCUGUGCUGCCUGAGGCGGGGUGUGUGUGAACUGAGGGCACAGGGUAGAAACAAUUGCGCCCUGGUUGGAGGAAGAUGCAUUCAGACGCCUGAUGUACCAAGAUCUAUGAGCCAGGCAGCGCUGCCCCCAUGGAGCCUGCAUUCUAGCCAGGAGACGGCCCGGAGCAGGUUCUCUGCUCAGCACUUUACAGACUCAUCUUCAAACAGCCCUAUGAGGUCAUCACACUCGCUCUCUCAACUUCAGUGAUCUCUUCUGGGCUCAGGACCUGCAGGUCUGACUGCUUCCUGGACCACCUUUAGAUCCAUCACAAUCAGCCUCAGGUCCCAAGCCAGGUUCGCAGCUCCGCCUGCCGGCACCUGCUCUGCCUCCAGUGUCCCCAGCUCAUCUCUGUCACCACCACCCACCCACUUGCUCAAGCUGGAAAGUUGGAAGUUCUCCUGGACACCGCCCUCUCCCUCACCCCCACAUGGCACAGCCGGUCCUCAGCAAGUCCCGUUGGUUCUGAAUGCCUCUCUGAGUCCGUCGUCUCUCUCUCUGCCCACUCCCCCAUUCCAGGCCACCAUCAGCUGUCACCAGGACCCCUGCAACAGCCUCCUAAACUGGUCUCCUUACAUUUCUGUUCGUGCCCCACUUCAUUUCACUUUUCACACUGCAGC
rnacentral:lncRNA from 1 species